rnacentral:pre_miRNA from 1 species
UUUGUACUCCCUCCAUCCCAAAAUUCUUGUCUUAAAUUUGUCUAAAUACAGAUGUAUCUAGUUACAUUUUAGUGUUAGAUACAUCCGUAUCUAAACAAAUGUAAGACAAUAAUUUUGGGACGGAGGGAAUACUAC